AACGAACGCUGGCGGCAUGCCUAACACAUGCAAGUCGAACGCCCUCUUCGGAGGGAGUGGCGCACGGGUGCGUAACGCGUGGGAACCUGCCCUUAGGUUCGGAAUAACUCAGAGAAAUUUGAGCUAAUACCGGAUAAUGUCUUCGGACCAAAGAUUUAUCGCCUUUGGAUGGGCCCGCGUUGGAUUAGCUAGUUGGUGGGGUAACGGCUCACCAAGGCGACGAUCCAUAGCUGGUCUGAGAGGAUGAUCAGCCACACUGGGACUGAGACACGGCCCAGACUCCUACGGGAGGCAGCAGUGGGGAAUAUUGGACAAUGGGCGAAAGCCUGAUCCAGCAAUGCCGCGUGAGUGAUGAAGGCCCUAGGGUUGUAAAGCUCUUUUACCCGAGAUGAUAAUGACAGUAUCGGGAGAAUAAGCUCCGGCUAACUCCGUGCCAGCCGCCGCAGUAAGAC
rnacentral:rRNA from 1 species